AACGAACACUGGCGGCAUGCCUAACACAUGCAAGUCGAACGAGAUCUUCGGGUCUAGUGGCGCACGGGUGCGUAACGCGUGGGAAUCUGCCCUUUGGUUCGGAAUAACAGUUGGAAACGACUGCUAAUACCGGAUGGUGACGAAAGUCCAAAGAUUUAUCGCCAGAGGAUGAGCCCGCGUAGGAUUAGCUAGUUGGUGUGGUAAAGGCGCACCAAGGCGACGAUCCUUAGCUGGUCUGAGAGGAUGAUCAGCCACAGUGGGACUGAGACACGGCCCAGACUCCUACGGGAGGCAGCAGUGGGGAAUAUUGGACAAUGGGCGAAAGCCUGAUCCAGCAAUGCCGCGUGAGUGAUGAAGGCCUUAGGGUUGUAAAGCUCUUUUACCCGGGAUGAUAAUGACAGUACCGGGAGAAUAAGCUCCGGCUAACUCCGUGCCAGCCGCCGCGGUAA
rnacentral:rRNA from 1 species